GGGUUGUGAGGUUAAGCGACUAAGCGUACACGGUGGAUGCCCUGGCAGUCAGAGGCGAUGAAGGACGUGCUAAUCUGCGAAAAGCGUCGGUAAGGUGAUAUGAACCGUUAUAGCCGGCGAUGUCCGAAUGGGGAAACCCAGUGCAAUUCGUUGCACUAUCGUUAACUGAAUACAUAGGUUAACGAGGCGAACCGGGGGAACUGAAACAUCUAAGUACCCCGAGGAAAAGAAAUCAACCGAGAUUCCCCCAGUAGCGGCGAGCGAACGGGGAGCAGCCCAGAGUCUGAAUCAGCUUGUGUGUUAGUGGAACGGUCUGGAAAGUCCGACGGUACAGGGUGAUAGUCCCGUACACCAAAAUGCACAGGCUGUGAACUCGAAGAGUAGGGCGGGACACGUGGUAUCCUGUCUGAAUAUGGGGGGACCAUCCUCCAAGGCUAAAUACUCCUGACUGACCGAUAGUGAACCAGUACCGUGAGGGAAAGGCGAAAAGAACCCCGGCGAGGGGAGUGAAAAAGAACCUGAAACCGUGUACGUACAAGCAGUGGGAGCACCUUCGGGUGUGACUGCGUACCUUUUGUAUAAUGGGUCAGCGACUUAUAUUCUGUAGCAAGGUUAACCGUAUAGGGGAGCCGCAGGGAAACCGAGUCUUAACUGGGCGUUAAGUUGCAGGGUAUAGACCCGAAACCCGGUGAUCUAGCCAUGGGCAGGUUGAAGGUUGGGUAACACUAACUGGAGGACCGAACCGACUAAUGUUGAAAAAUUAGCGGAUGACUUGUGGCUGGGGGUGAAAGGCCAAUCAAACCGGGAGAUAGCUGGUUCUCCCCGAAAGCUAUUUAGGUAGCGCCUCGUGAAUUCAUCUUCGGGGUAGAGCACUGUUUCGGCUAGGGGGUCAUCCCGACUUACCAACCCGAUGCAAACUACGAAUACCGAAGAAUGUUAUCACGGGAGACACACGGCGGGUGCUAACGUCCGUCGUGAAGAGGGAAACAACCCAGACCGCCAGCUAAGGUCCCAAAGUCAUGGUUAAGUGGGAAACGAUGUGGGAAGGCACAGACAGCCAGGAUGUUGGCUUAGAAGCAGCCAUCAUUUAAAGAAAGCGUAAUAGCUCACUGGUCGAGUCGGCCUGCGCGGAAGAUGUAACGGGGCUAAACCAUGCACCGAAGCUGCGGCAGCGACACUAUGUGUUGUUGGGUAGGGGAGCGUUCUGUAAGCCUGCGAAGGUGUGCUGUGAGGCAUGCUGGAGGUAUCAGAAGUGCGAAUGCUGACAUAAGUAACGAUAAAGCGGGUGAAAAGCCCGCUCGCCGGAAGACCAAGGGUUCCUGUCCAACGUUAAUCGGGGCAGGGUGAGUCGACCCCUAAGGCGAGGCCGAAAGGCGUAGUCGAUGGGAAACAGGUUAAUAUUCCUGUACUUGGUGUUACUGCGAAGGGGGGACGGAGAAGGCUAUGUUAGCCGGGCGACGGUUGUCCCGGUUUAAGCAUGUAGGCUGGUUGUCCAGGCAAAUCCGGAUAAUCAAGGCUGAGGUGUGAUGACGAGGCACUACGGUGCUGAAGUAACAAAUGCCCUGCUUCCAGGAAAAGCCUCUAAGCAUCAGGUAACAUCAAAUCGUACCCCAAACCGACACAGGUGGUCAGGUAGAGAAUACCAAGGCGCUUGAGAGAACUCGGGUGAAGGAACUAGGCAAAAUGGUGCCGUAACUUCGGGAGAAGGCACGCUGGUGUGUAGGUGAAGCCCCUGCGGGUGGAGCUGAGACCAGUCGAAGAUACCAGCUGGCUGCAACUGUUUAUUAAAAACACAGCACUGUGCAAACACGAAAGUGGACGUAUACGGUGUGACGCCUGCCCGGUGCCGGAAGGUUAAUUGAUGGGGUUAUCCGUAAGGAGAAGCUCUUGAUCGAAGCCCCGGUAAACGGCGGCCGUAACUAUAACGGUCCUAAGGUAGCGAAAUUCCUUGUCGGGUAAGUUCCGACCUGCACGAAUGGCGUAAUGAUGGCCAGGCUGUCUCCACCCGAGACUCAGUGAAAUUGAACUCGCUGUGAAGAUGCAGUGUACCCGCGGCAAGACGGAAAGACCCCGUGAACCUUUACUAUAGCUUGACACUGAACAUUGAGCCUUGAUGUGUAGGAUAGGUGGGAGGCUUUGAAGCGUGGACGCCAGUCUGCGUGGAGCCAACCUUGAAAUACCACCCUUUAAUGUUUGAUGUUCUAACGUUGGCCCCUGACCGGGGUUGCGGACAGUGUCUGGUGGGUAGUUUGACUGGGGCGGUCUCCUCCCAAAGCGUAACGGAGGAGCACGAAGGUUAGCUAAUCCUGGUCGGACAUCAGGAGGUUAGUGCAAUGGCAUAAGCUAGCUUGACUGCGAGCGUGACGGCGCGAGCAGGUGCGAAAGCAGGUCAUAGUGAUCCGGUGGUUCUGAAUGGAAGGGCCAUCGCUCAACGGAUAAAAGGUACUCCGGGGAUAACAGGCUGAUACCGCCCAAGAGUUCAUAUCGACGGCGGUGUUUGGCACCUCGAUGUCGGCUCAUCACAUCCUGGGGCUGAAGUAGGUCCCAAGGGUAUGGCUGUUCGCCAUUUAAAGUGGUACGCGAGCUGGGUUUAGAACGUCGUGAGACAGUUCGGUCCCUAUCUGCCGUGGGCGCUGGAGAAUUGAGGGGGGCUGCUCCUAGUACGAGAGGACCGGAGUGGACGCAUCACUGGUGUUCGGGUUGUCAUGCCAAUGGCACUGCCCGGUAGCUAAAUGCGGAAGAGAUAAGUGCUGAAAGCAUCUAAGCACGAAACUUGCCCCGAGAUGAGUUCUCCCUGAGACUUUAAGUCUCCUGAAGGAACGUUGAAGACGACGACGUUGAUAGGCCGGGUGUGUAAGCGCAGCGAUGCGUUGAGCUAACCGGUACUAAUGAACCGUGAGGCUUAACCUUACAACGCCGAAG
rnacentral:rRNA from 1 species